AGAGUUUGAUCAUGGCUCAGGACGAACGCUGGCGGCGUGCUUAACACAUGCAAGUCGAACGGAGGAUGCGGGGAAGCUUGCUUUCCUGCAAACUUAGUGGCGGACGGGUGAGUAACGCGUGGAUAACCUGCCUGUAAGACUGGGAUAACACUGGGAAACCGGUGCUAAUACCGGAUAUACUGUAGAGUAGGCAUCUACUUUACAGGAAAAGAUUAACCUCUGCUUACAGAUGGAUCCGCGUCCCAUUAGCUAGCUGGUAGGGUAACGGCCUACCAGGGCGACGAUGGGUAGCCGGCCUGAGAGGGUGGUCGGCCACACUGGGACUGAGACACGGCCCAGACUCCUACGGGAGGCAGCAGUGGGGAAUCUUGCGCAAUGGGCGAAAGCCUGACGCAGCGACGCCGCGUGGGUGACGAAGGCCUUCGGGUCGUAAAACCCUGUUGCAGGGGACGAAGGAAGUGACGGUACCCUGCCAGAAAGCCCCGGCUAACUACGUGCCAGCAGCCGCGGUAAAACGUAGGGGGCGAGCGUUGUCCGGAAUUACUGGGCGUAAAGGGCUCGUAGGCGGUAACUCAAGUCAGUUGUGAAAACCGACGGCUUAACCGGAGGAUUGCAGUUGAUACUGGGUUACUUGAGGCAAGGAGAGGAAGGUGGAAUUCCCGGUGUAGCGGUGAUAUGCGUAGAUAUCGGGAGGAACCCCAGUGGCGAAGGCGGCCUUCUGGUCUUGACCUGACGCUGAGGAGCGAAAGCCAGGGUAGCGAACGGGAUUAGAUACCCCGGUAGUCCUGGCUGUAAACGAUGGACACUAGGUGUAGGUGGUAUCAACCCCAUCUGUGCCGCAGCUAACGCAUUAAGUGUCCCGCCUGGGGAGUACGGUCGCAAGGCUGAAACUCAAAUGAAUUGACGG
rnacentral:rRNA from 1 species